AAAAACUUCUCUACUCCUGACUCACCAACGCACCAGAACAACUUUUAGUCCUGCAAUCAUGAAGCAUUGAUUGAACAUCUUCUACAUAUUAUCACCACCCUAGACACUACAACAACAAAGAAGUCAAUACUAGUUUCAAUUUGUGGAAAGCUGGAAAUGCGAUGAUUCCCAUGCCCUGAGUUUCUGCUCCAGACACCAGGUGGGGGCAUGGCAAUUGUGACUGGAGAGAGUGGAGGGGUCAUCUUAUCCACCACAUCAGAAGCUGAGGUUAGGAUAUUGUGGCAAGAGAUGAAAAGUGAAGUGAUGUGAGGAAACUUCAUCCUGAAUUCAACUAAAGCCCUGGAAUACUUGUUCAAAUAACCAGCUGACAACUUGGGGUUAAGCUGUCUUGAAUUUAACCUGUUUAGCUCAGCCAAUACAAUUAUGAAAUAAAAAGUUAACAGUCUACUAUUUUGUAGUCCCUGGAUAAAGAGGCCUAAAUGGUAUCCUGUAAAGUUAUGCAGAGUACUAUCUGCAUAGAUCUAGUCAAUGACCUUGGCUAGUAGCAUCAUUUGGUUUCCAGCUUUAUGUGCAUCAAUUCUUCUUUAUAUGCAGUAGUUAAUUUAAUGCACCAUAUAUCUUAUCUCUAACUCCUUGGGAAACAUUUGAAUUUAGUUAUUUUCCAUUCUACUAUUGAGAAUCUGUCUUCACAAGUCACAUAGCACUGUUACAAACACAAAUCACUUGGCGUACACAAUCCAAAUUAAGUAUACAUUUUGCCUGUGUUGCUAUUUCAUGGUAAAUUUUAUUUUCCAUUUUCUUAUUUUCAUUUUCUGUCUUUUAUUACCUUCUGAUGACACUGAAAUGCCUAAAGAAGUAGAUAAAUAUCUUGUUCUAACUUUGCUGAUUAAAAAGAAAACAGUUAAGCCUUGUACAUUUCACAGUAAUGAAGAAAGACUCACAAACAUUUUAUCAGGUCUGA
rnacentral:lncRNA from 1 species